rfam:Gossypium hirsutum cultivar TM-1 chromosome 9, whole genome shotgun sequence
AUUGCAUGAUGAAGACAUUUUCGUAAUAGUUCUUUAAAUCUUUUUCAUGCCUCAUACAAAGACUUGUCAUCCAUCUAUUGGAAAGUAGUGAUUUCAUUCUGCAACU